UCUCAUAUUGUUUUCAUUUAUACAGAUUUAUUAUUUAAUAUUUCAAAAUUCAUAUUUUAUAUUUUAUUUUUUCAUUAAGGUCGUGUUGUCGGACUUUUAAAAUGUACCUAGGAUCUUGAAUUUAAUUUUUGCUUCUCGGACUCCUCUGGGUGAUAGCUUAAGCUUGUUGUCUGAGCUUGGCCAGUCAUGCCAUCUGUCUUGUUCACUUAUCUGCUGGGAUUCUACCUGCCAAUGUCCAAAAGUCCCUAGGAUCUUGAAUUUGAUUCUCCCUUAUAUGACUUCUCCCGGGAAUAGCUUGGCCAGUCAUAAUUUUUUUUCAUGAUAUUUAUCACAUUCACUUAGCUCAUGGGAUUUACCUGCCAAUGCCCAAAGGUUCCUUUUAUCCUUUUCCCCUAAUUAUUUCUGUCAUGCUCUGUCUCAUUUUUUAUUAAUCCAUAAUUUUGAAUUUCUAGACCAGUUUCAAUGAUUUGCACUGAUGCAAACAUGUGAAUUAAAUCCGUGAGCCGUUUUACUGCUUUAAAAGAUUAAUAUGUCUAAAAGGUUGUCAAGGAUGUGUCUACCCCCUCUAAUCUCUUAUUUUCCGCAAUUAUUAAUUUUUCCUACGUCCUAUAGGUAUUUUAUAAGGUCUGACAUAUUUAUCUCCUAUAGGAGGAAAUGAGAAAUUUUGUUUGGCAUUCGGCAUUUGUAUUGAUGAGAUGAGUUCACAAAACUCUUCUUUUGUCGACCAAUGUAAUUUGAUUUUAGAAUAUGUUCGUCGUCGGACAUAAUUGUGUAAACCAGUAUAUAAUGUACUGUAAUAUACUAUAAAUAAUAUAAUACAAUAUAGUAAUAUAAUACAAUAUAAUACAAUGCGAUGAAACAGACAACAUACUUGAAGACCAAAAAAUCAUAGUUAAAGCUUCACCAGUAAAUUCUGAUUAUUGGGUUGUUUACAUGAAUAAUCUUCCUGUAUCCAGCUUGUGCCAGUUUUCCAACAGAGGAAGAAAUUAAACCCUUUUCUUGGUUGCUGAAACUUCUUUCUUUGAUCCAUAUACUUGUGCCUUCUCCUAAAGCAUAUUUAUUACGCAUGGUUUUGGUUAUGAUCUGUGACCUUACUCUCAAGGUAAUUCCACUUGGGCAUCUGUAAAAAUUGUUCAGAUGUCCAUGCCCCUUUAACAAACAUUUGUUAAAGCUCUUCUUCAAUUGUUUCCUUGUAGUUGUUGCUGUGUCUUUGGAUGACACUUGUUUUGUAAUCAGAUUUACUAUGUUGUAUAGAAUCAUAGUUAUGUUAGCUUGCUGCUGAGUUUAUCUGUAUCCGAUGUUCACAAUCAAGUUUAUUCAUGGUAGCCUAUGAUACGUUUGAUCUGAAACAGGAGUAUUUCUAUUAAUUGUGAAAUAUUGAUCAAAUUUAUUUUUCCAUCUAAAGCGCUCCUUUGACCCUAAAACCAUGAAAGAUAACAUGAUGACGCCAAAAUGUUUACAAGAGGAUAAUUAAUCAGUCAGACUCAACCAAGGCAAAUGCAACAAAAACUUUAUUUGACCAAGAAAAAUGACAUGAAGGCAAGUACUAGCAUCAUGCAUCAUGGAAACCUAUGUAGCACGGACACGGAUCCGACACGGCCAUCCAACACGCCGACACGAGGCAAAUCCUAAAAAAUACAUAGGAUAAGUGUGUUCGACACGUGUGUCCGACACGGACACGACACAACACGGCUUCAUGUUAUGCGUGCCUGUGUUUCAUAGAUGGAAACUAUAGAAAGCAAUAGCUCUAAAAAACUUUAUGGAUCGUGGACAAAGUUUUGUCAUUUGCCAAACCGCGAACAGAUUUCUAAGCUAAACAACAUCCCGACAUAUACAGACAAGCUGCACCAUGAAAACCAUGGUUUUAAAUAUCGGCCGAUAAUCCGAUAUUAUCGCCGAGUUAUCGGAUUUGGGAGCUUUCCGCUAGGAUAAGUAGGAUUUUUAAUCGGUUAUCGUUUUGAGGUUUAUCGGCGAUAAAGGCACUUAUCGGCCGAUAAGUAGGCUCUAAAUAUCGCCUUUAUCGACCGAUAAGUAGGAUUUGGGAGCUUUUACUUUCUUUUCGAUUUGCUCUUUGAAUAUUUACAAAUUAUGAACUAUUUGUUGCUUUUGGAACUUGGUUGAUUGGUGAUUAGGUUAUGUUUGUUUAUGGAUAUUGAUAAUGGCUCAUAACUACUAAAUAUCAACUUAGUAAAUUAAUUUAUGAAUCUCAUGAUUAAACAAUAAUUAUGUAGAUGCGUAGAUGGUUCUUCAUUCUUGAUGUUAUCUUAUUAUUUGCUUGUUUAUUAUUUCAUUUUGACUAACAUUAUAUUUUUUUUUCAAGCUUAUGUUUGUUUAUUAUUUGCUAGUAUAUUACUCCGAUAAAUACUACUUAUCCCCGAUAUAUCCCCGAUUUUCGCUAUCUGAUAAGGAUUUUGACCGUCCGAUAAAUUCCUGAUAACCGACAUUUAAAACCUUGAUGAAAACAGGUUUUUUGACUGUUGAUGGGAGAUUUUCAUGGUUGUACGUAAUUUUGCUUGUGGGAUGGAAUAUUUGCAGUGAGCACUACAUACGCACAACUGAUUUACAAAUAGAAAUGCAUAAGUUGCCACGGAAAAUAAGGAUAGAUGAAGGAAUGGACCGUGAAGAAGGGAGAAGGAAAAGGCAUUUCAUGUUUGUAUGUAGAUCACAUCAUGGUUCCAUACUGUGUAGGCCCUUUUAUGUUUUAAAAGGAAAUUCCAAUAAUUAUUUAGUCCUUAUGUGAACUGUACCCAGUGUAGGCUCUUUUCUUUUUUAAAGGAAAUUCCAAUAGUUAUUUAGUCCUUAUGUGAACUGUACCCAGUUGCGUUUGUACCCAGUUGCGUUAUUGGAUAGACGAAGAAAUGACAUGGCAGGGGGGAAGUCCACAGGAAAGGUUUUAUGGUUACAUACGAAUGGUUCUCCGUCUUUCCUUGGGUUACAUACAAUUGGUUAUCUAGCAGCCAUUAUCCCAAACAUUUUGAAGGGACUACAUCUAAAGCCUAUAUCCCAAACCUGCUUCUCCUUUAAGCUUUCAAGAGGGAAGCCGUCUAGCUAUCAUAUUGUUCUUUACCAUCCUUUUGCUUUCUCGUCAAGCAUGCAAAACCAAGCUUGUGGUUGCUGCUGUUAGAAUUUUGACUCUUCAUAUUCUAUUAUGUGACAUUAAUAGCAAUUUGAGUUUGAAUUUUGGAAUUAACUACUUUGGUGGUUUUUAAGACAUAACUACAUUGGGUAGUUAUGAACUCCUUGAUGGUGGGAGUUCUAUAAAGAGAGUCGCUUGUCCACACACAAUGAAUGAUCAAUAAUCAAGUCCUGUGAUAAUAAUCCAUCAUCUCGGUUUUGUGUUGUGGAGUGGACAAGGAAGAAAAAUUAUCGGUAAUUCGGUGUUCAUUACAUUCAACAAUGGAAGAAGAAUCUUUUGUUCACCUGAUUCCUGCAUCAUUUCUCAUAAUUAUGAAGUCUCUUCCAUCAUAUAGAACUUCUUAGUAGGAUGAAAGCGAGGAUAUCUACCUUGAUCUGCAUGUCCCAUGUUAGGUGCCUAUUUUCGACAAUGGUGUUUCGAGUAUUGGAUUUGUGCUCCUAUUUGUUGACUAUUUUUAUUGUUUGAUCAAAGUGAAGUAUCACACUACUUGGGAUUUCUUUGGAGCGGAGGAGCUUCUUCACUUUAUUAAUAUCAGGUUCAGUAGAGUGUUUUUCCAAGGACUCAAUUCGUUCAUCUGGUAAUUUUACUUUAUUCUGUGACUUUAGAGCAACCCAUUUCUGUCAGUUGAUAUAUCAGGUUGGUCUUUCUGUUCUGAUGCUGUAAAUCCUGACUUCUUUUCUGCUGAACUUUGUCAAAUUUAUUUGGAGUAAGAAUCCAAAUUGUUUGAACCAAGAAUUUAUCAGUAGUUCAGAUCCUUUCAAAAAUUUCUAGUUCUUUGUCCUAUUUGUAAAUCUAUAGCCCAGUUAUAGCUAAAGCAUGUUUGAUAAUUUAAUGGCAUUGUAGUUCAUCAUCUGAGGAAAAUGGCUUCUCAUGCACGAGACUACCUCAAGACUUUAGCUGUGCCUCCUAAACAAUGGCCUAUAAGUGAACUAUUUUGUCAUAACUUUUAUGAAUAUGAACUUAUGACAUUAGACUGGGUACAAAGGAUGAUCAUUUAUCAAUUAUGCUGUGGAAUAUAUCUAUAGUGGUAUCAGCAAGAUCUGAUUGAAAAAACUGUGGCUAUUCUGGAAAAUAGUAGUUGGACAUCUAAGACGAUAAUUUAUUAUGACGUAGAAAAGCACAUUUGGCUAUUGACCUCACAUCAAUUGUUUAUGUUGAUACUGGUUUUUUUAUUGAAAAAUUGCUGAAAGGACUUACAAGGUUUCUGAAUUUUUAUUCCUCUAAAUUGAAUAAGAAUUUUAUGGGCAUUCUGAUUGGAUUAGAUAUUUUAGGCCUUAUAUCAUUGGUCCUUUUGAUGUGCGUUUAUCAAUAUAGGUUGUUUUUCCUGAUAAUAUUGCUCAUCAUGUAGCAGUUAAUGAGCUAUGUGGUAAAACCAAACCAUCUGAUUCUGUGUGUCUAUUGAGAUAGACAUGUAAAAUCUUUUCUUUGUUGACCACUUCUGAUGUAUGCUUCACAUUAUCAAUUACUAGUUCAUCUUCCCAAUUCCAAGUUCAAGAUCCUUAAGUGCAUUACUCUUACUUUAGUCCCUUGCUACUAAAAAAUCCUUCAAUUUAUCUAUUAUCUUUCUCGCUUACAUAGCUUAUCUUCCAAGCUCGAAACUGUCCUUGGUUAACAAAACAAGUAGUUCAUACUUGGUUUUAAUUAUCUGCUUUAUUUGCUUGUUAUUUAUUUCUCAAGUAGGCAUCCGUGAUGACUUCAUUUUAGUUAUCCUUGCACUCUGAUCCUCAGUGAAGAUACUCUUGGGAAGAUAUCGUCUGAGAUGCCUGAAUAUACAAGUGUACACAUAAAUAUGCCAACAUAUUGUCACUAAAAAAAUUCUUUCUGUUUUUAGGGUUGUAAUUUGACCCUUCAUGGAGAUAGGACCUCUUCACACAUAUAAUGAAAAUAGUAGUGUUUGAAAAAGCUUUAUGAAACUCGCUUCAAAACUUUUUGAAGGGUAAUCGCUUCGAAACUCAUAAAUGAAGCUAUUUAUCCCUUGAAGCCCCCGCUUCAUCACUUUAACCAUAACUAAAGUGUGCUUCACGUUACAUGAAGCGCUUCUCUUUUGGAGCACACACUUCACACAAGGUAGGAGGGUAUAAAAGAACGUUUGACUAAAAAUCAGAUACAUAUCUUAUAGUAUACGUGCAGCUUAAUUUAUUAUGACUUGCAUUAGUACUUAGCAUAUUUAAUUCUUAUUUACUAAUCAAGACUUGAAUGUAUCUAUAUUAAAAUUUUAUACUGCUAUAUAUGUUUUAUAAUAUUUAUAAAUUAAAAUAUACUUAGCUCAUCAGGCUUACGCCUCACGCUUUGAGGCUUACGCAUUGCUUCAUAAAAGGGUCUAAUGCUUCGCCUUGCGCAGUUGCGCAUCCUCUUUUUUAAACGUUGGAAAAUACUUUUUUGUCACUUAAAUACUUUUUUGAUUUGCCGCUUCUCGGAUAAAAACAUUCACUUGUUUUAUUCUUUAUAUUUUUCUGUUGGGCUUUGAUUUUCUAUCUUAACUCUUUCUUAGUCCUGAUUCCUCUGCUUUACUAUUUCCAUUCUAAGACUCAUUAUUUCUGCUAAAUUAUUGUAGCCAGUCUGUGGCACUGUGCAUAGAAAUAGAUAGGUACUCACUUGACAACUAGUCAUGCAGGGGUCUUAAAGGAAUUCUGAAAAAGUGUUAGUCGUUCCUUAAAAAAGGUAGCAGGUUUAAGAGAAUAUGAUUGACAUAUCAAGGGUUACAUAUCUCCUUGUUUUCUUUUCAUAUGCAAGCCUUUUUGGACAUUUGGGCAUGUUUUAACCGUGUUGGAUGUGAUUAUAAAAUCAAUUGGGAGCCUAUGUGUUGAGUUUGUGCAAAAGACCUGCCAAUAUUUUAUGGUAAUGGUUUGAACUGGAAUUUCUACCUUUGACCAAGCAACGCUUUACCCUAUACCUUGUAUGUGAGCUGCAUAUUGAUUUUUCUGUUUAUUUUAUGUUAAUGAAAACACAUUCAGCUGCAUGAUUGUGAUAUUAGUCUUUUUAGCAGAUAAUGAAAAAUGAUCUAAUGAAGUGUAUAUUAGCAUGCCAUGAGCCUUCAACUUUCAUGCAAACAUGCUAAAUGUCAAGAUUUGAGUGCAAGGAAGAAGUGUGUUUAUCCAUUUUUCUAGUAGCAAACCUACCAUGUGUAUGGGGGCAAAAGUUGAUGGAAUAGUAAUCCAAUAUGUCACUAUGUUAGUAACUAUUAGCUCAAAUUUGGUUUGGAAAAGCAUUUAUGAGAAAUCGAAUACUUUUAUUCAUAUUGUAAAUUUUUGGCAUUUAUUUUGAUACUUUUGUUUUAUUUAAUAUUCCCUUUAUAUGUGAUCCUUUGUGCUCUAUGUUAUUAUGCAGACAUGGUCAGAUCAAUUUUGCUUCUCAUAUAGAUUUUUUCCGACGUGUAUACUUAUCUUGAGAGAGAUAGAGUUUCAAUCUCUCUUUCUCGAUAGAUCUUUCUCAAAUUGAUUUUUAUUCUAUGCUAUUAGUUUGAAUAACAUCCAAUAUUAAUUUAAGCGUCAGAUUCAAGAUUGUAAACAAGUACAAAGACAAACACCUCAAAUUUUAUUUGAAUUCUGGUCUAAUUCUCAUUCAAGGUAAUUCUACUUGCUUGACAAAAGAUUCACCUAGGUGAUGUAUUUGCCAAUAACUACUUACCAUAUAUGCAAGUGUAUUUGCAAGCAAAGGUUCAUUAGUAUGCUUCUGUUGUUGCACAAAAAAUGACACAAAGGAGUUUGAAGACUACACUGAUGCAUGCGCACAGUGUCAGUUCAUUAUCCACAUGGGAGUUUGAAGACUAUGCUGAUGCAUAUGUACAAUGUUAGUGCAUUAUCCUGAUUUUUCCAUCUUGUUUUGAUUUUUACAUUCUGCAUCACAGAUAGUUUGCUUUUCCACUUUCUUUUUGUCUUUUUUUAGUUUUUUGUGUGCAGAAAGCUGCUUCCCCAGCAGAAAGGAGUUUAAAGACUUGCAAAUACAACGUGCAGAGGACUUGACAGCAGCAUGUUCUCGGAGGUUAAUUCUGUAUGCCCACCAUGCAAUUCUCCUUUUUUUUCCCUUUUCCUUUUAUUUCUUUGUAGUCUUGAGAAAAUUUUAUCAUUGUGAACUAGUUUUCUUGGAUGUCGUCAUCUAAUUAUAGAUCAUAUAAAGCUUAUGAAUGUA